AGAGUUUGAUUAUGGCUCAGGAUGAACGCUAGCUACAGGCUUAACACAUGCAAGUCGAGGGGCAGCGGGAUCUAGCUGCUAGAUUGCCGGCGACCGGCGCACGGGUGAGUAACGCGUAUCCAACCUUCCCCUUAGUAGGGCAUAGCCCGUAGAAAUGCGGAUUAAUACCCUAUGUUAUUCGUCGAUGACAUCUGAAGUGAAUCAAAGGUUUACCGCUAAGGGAUGGGGAUGCGUCUGAUUAGGCAGCAGGCGGGGUAACGGCCCACCUGGCCGACGAUCAGUAGGGGUUCUGAGAGGAAGGUCCCCCACAUUGGAACUGAGACACGGUCCAAACUCCUACGGGAGGCAGCAGUGAGGAAUAUUGGUCAAUGGGCGCGAGCCUGAACCAGCCAAGUAGCGUGCAGGAUGACGGCCCUAUGGGUUGUAAACUGCUUUUAUGCGGGGAUAAAGUGCGGCACGCGUGCCGUUUUGUAGGUACCGCAUGAAUAAGGACCGGCUAAUUCCGUGCCAGCCGCGGC
rnacentral:rRNA from 1 species